rnacentral:rRNA from 1 species
UACGUAGGUGACAAGCGUUGUCCGGAUUUACUGGGCGUAAAGAGCGCGCAGGCGGUCGUUCAAGUCGAGUGUGAAAGCCCCCGGCUCAACUGGGGAGGGUCAUUCGAUACUGAUCGACUCGAAGGCAGGAGAGGGAAGUGGAAUUCCCGGUGUAGUGGUGAAAUGCGUAGAUAUCGGGAGGAACACCAGUGGCGAAGGCGAGUCUCUGGACAAUUCCUGACGCUGAGGCACGAAGCUAGGG